UUCGGGGAACGAUAACGGCGUCGAGCGGCGGACGGGUGAGUAAUGCCUAGGAAAUUGCCCUGAUGUGGGGGAUAACCAUUGGAAACGAUGGCUAAUACCGCAUGAUGCCUACGGGCCAAAGAGGGGGACCUUCGGGCCUCUCGCGUCAGGAUAUGCCUAGGUGGGAUUAGCUAGUUGGUGAGGUAAGGGCUCACCAAGGCAACGAUCCCUAGCUGGUCUGAGAGGAUGAUCAGCCACACUGGAACUGAGACACGGUCCAGACUCCUACGGGAGGCAGCAGUGGGGAAUAUUGCACAAUGGGCGCAAGCCUGAUGCAGCCAUGCCGCGUGUAUGAAGAAGGCCUUCGGGUUGUAAAGUACUUUCAGUCGUGAGGAAGGCGGCGUCGUUAAUAGCGGCGUUGUUUGACGUUAGCGACAGAAGAAGCACCGGCUAACUCCGUGCCAGCAGCCGCGGUAAUACGGAGGGUGCGAGCGUUAAUCGGAAUUACUGGGCGUAAAGCGCAUGCAGGUGGUUUGUUAAGUCAGAUGUGAAAGCCCGGGGCUCAACCUCGGAAUAGCAUUUGAAACUGGCAGACUAGAGUACUGUAGAGGGGGGUAGAAUUUCAGGUGUAGCGGUGAAAUGCGUAGAGAUCUGAAGGAAUACCGGUGGC
rnacentral:rRNA from 1 species